CAGGACCUACGGGAGGCAGCAGUAAGGGAUAUUGGUCAAUGGGGGAAACCCUGAACCAGCAACGCCGCGUGGGUGAAGGAGUAUUUCGGUAUGUAAAGCCCUAUCAGCAGGGAAGAACAAUGACGGUACCUGACUAAGAAGCACCGGCUAAAUACGUGCCAGCAGCCGCGGUAAUACGUAUGGUGCAAGCGUUAUCCGGAUUUACUGGGUGUAAAGGGAGCGCAGGCGGCGCGUUAAGCCUGGUGUGAAAGCCCGCGGCCCAACCGCGGGACUGCAUUGGGAACUGGCGCGCUGGAGUGCCGGAG
rnacentral:rRNA from 1 species